CCUAUUUUUCCACAUUCAUUUACAAAGUCGUUGCGCAUAGAGAGAGGAUGCAAAACAGUUUUUGCUAAAUGAAUAAUCAUGCGGGAAGCCCAUGUGAACCCGUGAGAUUCUCUACAAAAGCACUUUGCCCUCUGCAAUCCUAACCCCGGAAGCCCUUUUUCAACCACUCUAUGCAGUCCUCUGCAACCUUAUAGAGAAGACGUGAAGAAGUCCUUUCUCUAUAACAGCAAUUUUGUGCUACCCUCUACAACCCUAUAGGGAAGACGUGAACCCGUGAGGCCCUUUCUCUACAAAAAUCAGUCUCAUUGAGCUACCUUCUGCAAACCCUCUAGAGAAAAAUACCAUCAAAGACGAAUACCUCACAAAAGAAUACCCUCAGAGAGGAAUACCCCAAAUCACACAGAGCUCUAAUCUAGAGAGAGCAUUUCAAUGCCAAGUUCUUAGCGAGGUGAGGAGAGAUCUCGAGUUGCGUGAUAGAGCUCAAUCAGAUGAAGACGAAGUAGAAGAAGAUUAACUUGAGGAUCUAAACUCUCAGAGUAGGUCUGCCCAUAAUGUUGGAGUACAAUUGAAGGUGCAAAUUAUGGCAGAAAUGUGGGGACAAUAUCGACAACGCUGAAUCAUUAGUGUAUGCAUACAUGCAUACACUGAUUAUCUUUUUGUUCAAGUGAUUGCUUUCAUGUUAUUAUUUCAAAAAAUACAAACUUAUCAUUUUUGUAAUAUAUUGGUGUAGCGGCAAUAUUGAAUGGUUAGCUUUCAAACUUUUAAA